rnacentral:rRNA from 1 species
AGCUCCAAUAGCGUAUAUUAAAGUUGUUGCAGUUAAAAAGCUCGUAGUUGGAUCUCUGGUGGGAGCGAUCGGUGCGGUACUCUGUACUGCUAUUCGUGUCGUCUCUAGCCAUGUUUGGACAGAAAUUGUCUGGCAUUAAGUUGUUGGGCAAGGGAUGUUCAUCUUUUACUGUGAAAAAAUUAGAGUGUUCAAAGCAGGCAUUUGCCAUUGAAUAUAUUAGCAUGGAAUAAUAACAUAGGACCUUGGUACUAUUUUGUUGGUUUGUGCACUAAGGUAAUGAUCAAUAGGGAUAGUCGGGGGUAUUCGUAUUCCACUGUCAGAGGUGAAAUUCUUGGAUUUUUGGAAGACGAACUACUGCGAAAGCAUUUACCAAGGAUGUUUUCAUUAAUCAAGAACGAAA